rnacentral:rRNA from 1 species
GCAUAUCAAUAAGCGGAGGAAAAGAAACCAACAGGGAUUGCCUCAGUAACGGCGAGUGAAGCGGCAACAGCUCAAAUUUGAAAUCUGGCAGCCUCCGGGCGGCCCGAGUUGUAAUUUGAAGAGGAUGCUUUUGGCGAGGCGCCUUCCGAGUGCCCUGGAACGGGACGCCACAGAGGGUGAGAGCCCCGUAUGGUUGGACGCCGAGCCUCUGUAAAGCUCCUUCGACGAGUCGAGUAGUUUGGGAAUGCUGCUCAAAAUGGGAGGUAAACCCCUUCUAAAGCUAAAUACUGGCCAGAGACCGAUAGCGCACAAGUAGAGUGAUCGAAAGAUGAAAAGCACUUUGAAAAGAGAGUUAAAUAGCACGUGAAAUUGUUGAAAGGGAAGCGCUUGCGACCAGACUUGUGCCCGUCGAAUCAGCCGCCGCUCGUCGGCGGCGCACUUCGGCGGGCUCAGGCCAGCAUCAGUUCGCUGCAGGGGGAGAAAGGCGGCGGGAAUGUGGCUCUUCGGAGUGUUAUAGCCCGCCGCGCAAUACCCCUCGGCGGACUGAGGACCGCGCAUCUGCAAGGAUGCUGGCGUAAUGGUCGUCAGCGACCCGUCUUGAAACACGGACCAAGGAGUCGUCCUAAUAUGCGAGUGUUCGGGUGUAAAACCCCUGCGCGUAAUGAAAGUGAACGGAGGUGAGAGCUUCGGCGCAUCAUCGACCGAUCCUGAUGUUCUCGGAUGGAUUUGAGUAAGAGCAUAUUGGGCCGGACCCGAAAGAAGGUGAACUAUGCCUGUAUAGGGUAAAGCCAGAGGAAACUCUGGUGGAGGCUCGCAGCGGUUUCUGACGUGCAAAUCGAUCGUCAAAUAUGGGCAUGGGGGCGAAAGACUAAUCGAACCUUCUAGUAGCUGGUUUCCGCCGAA